ACGUGGCAUUAUUUCAUU
rnacentral:snRNA from 1 species